AAAGGCCUACAGUAAAUUGGGACUGGUACUGGUAAAUGACGUCCAGCUUGACUGUCUGAAGAUUGACUUCUCGAGUGUUGAGAGCUGUCCGAACCGCUUGCAUUGGAUAAGUUGGGUGGGUUGGAUUUUGCAGGAAAUUCGCCCUGUGUAAUGACUAAAAGCGGCCAAAAAUUAAAAUCUGGAAUGCCAGUAUACCUGCAUUCUCCCAUCGUCCUUCCGCACAUGGGCCUUGAUUUUGUUGUAGGUCGCAGUAUCACGCCGCUGUUGUGGUUCCCCCAAUCGACGCAGUUGCAAUUUAUCGGCAGAGCUACG